rnacentral:rRNA from 1 species
AUGGAUAAACUGUUGUAUGUUCAAAAAGGCAAGGAAAAACCAGCAAGGGUUAUGAUUGGUGAAGGGACACACUGGUCAUGGCGCACGAGACAGUAUCGUCAGUGCAACAUUGCUCCGGAUGUGGUGGACCAAAAAGAUCGGGAGAUAUGUCAAUUCUGUGGUCUUAGAAAUGGAGCGCAGAUGGAGCUGAGGCGGGCGAUUGCCAACAAGACCCCUGGAGGCCAGUGUCACUUGAAGCUGGAUUAUGAGUCCCUGAUAAGGAGUUAUCUUGAGCUUCAUGGCCUGCCAGAGUAUGCUGACGAGAAACAGAAAAACGAGAUGGAGAAGGAAAUCAUUGAGAAGGAUAAGGACAGGUAUCACAGGGAAGAUGGGGCUUGUUGGUGUUUGAAGAACCUUGGGAUCAGAGCCUUCGUUGGAAACACUCCGUAUGUUCAUAGGUUAGGGAUUGAUGAUUACCACCUCUAUCCUAGGAUGCCAGCUGAGGAUGUGUGGACAUAUGUGGAAGAAGGGAGAGCUGUUAUGUGUAAGGUGCUUUGCGGGCAAGAAUUCUAUGAGCUCAAGGCUGAUGAAAUUUAUGCAUGGAUUCCGCAAUAUGAUGGGGAAAAGAAGCAGUUUGUGGAGAUGCCUGAGAAGCACCAGGUAGUGCUAAUAGGCAAUGGAAACGCUGGUCCGGAACUGGAGUUUGAACAGUACCACCCAUUUUGCAAUUCUCAUGGCAUAGAAUUUGCGAACGGGGGUGACGGCUGUGUAUUCUUCGAGGGCUUGUUGGAAUUUUGUCUGGUGGAGAUAAAGGCGGAGCCGAAACACAUCACGACUCGUUUGGCAGAGAUCAGUGACCGUCCACUUCCUAGGCGGCGUGCUGCAGUCCCUUCUCAGCCUCACCCUACUCAGCCCCCUUCCGACUCCUCAGUGUGGCGUCCUGCUGGCCCAUCUCCUCAAUAUCCCCCUACUCGGCCCCCUUCCGACUCCUCAUGGUGGCGUCCUGCUGCCCCAUCUCAUCAAACUCCCCCUAUCCGCCCCUCUUCUGAAAUGUCAUGGCGGCGUAUCGGUGACCCUGACCCCACUCCACCGCGCCAGGCCCCCAAUGUGUGGCUGCCCAGGCCACGUGAUCCUCCUCGCCGGGCUUCUCCUCCGCGUGACCGCAGCAAGAUCAACAAGGACAGGUGGCGAUAG